CAAAAUUCACCCAAAAUUCACCCCCAAAAUGGCCAAAAUUCACCCAAAAUCCACCCCAAAAAUCACCCGAAAUUCACCCCAAAAACGGCCGAAAUUCACCCAAAAAUCACCCAAAAUUCACCCCAAAAUCCACCCAAAAUUCACCCAAAAACGGCCAAAAUUCAUCCAAAAUUCACCCGAAAUUCACCCGAAAUUCAACCAAAAUUCACCCAAAAUUCACCCGAAAUUCAACCAAAAUUCACCCGAAAUUCACACGAAAUUCACCCCAAAUCCACCCAAAAAAUCCCCUCCCCAAAAUUCCCCAAAACCUCCCCAAGAGCCCCGCAAAAAUCCCCCAAAAACCUCCCCAAAAACCCCUGAAAAAUCCUAAAAUUUCACCUGAAAUCCACCCAAAACCACCCCCAAAUCCCCCCAAAAUUCCCACCAAAACCCCCAAAAAUCCCAAAAUUCCCCCCAAGAAAUCCCUGAAAAAUCCCUCAAAAAAAACCCAAAGUCCCCCCAAAACCUCCCCAAAAAAAUCCCAAAAAAACCCAACCCCCCCCCAAAACCUUCCCAAAAUUAACCCCAAAAACCUUCCCAAAAAAAACCCAAAAAAACCCACCCCCCCCCCCCCAAAAACCCCCCAAAAUCCCAAAAAUCCCCCAAAAUCCCCAAAUCUCCCCAAAAUGCCCCAAAAUCUCUCACCGAUCAUGACGUUGACGGCCUCGGGCUCGAGGCCCCCCAAAAAUUUCCUCUUGAGGCUGAUCCCCCCAAAAUCCACCAGGACGCGGCGCAGCACCGCGAAGGCGCCGUCGCGCACCAGCUCCUGGGGACCCCAAAAUCCAUUUGGGAACCCCAAAAUCCAUUUGGGAACCCCAAAAUCCGACUCGGCGCCCCCGAAAACCCCAAAAUCCACCCCAAAACCACCAAAAUCCACCCCAGGAACCCCAAAAUCCAACCCAGGAAACACAGAAACCCCAAAAUCCAACCCAGGAACUCCAAAAACCCCAAAAUCCACCCCAAAAACACCAAAAUCCACCCCAGGAACCCCAAAAUCCAUUUGGGAACCCCAAAAUCCG
rnacentral:lncRNA from 1 species